rnacentral:tRNA from 1 species
GCCUGGGUGGCUCAGUCGGUUGAGUGUCUGACUUUGGCUCAGGUCAUGAUCUCGCGGUCUGUGGAUUCAAGCCCCACAUCGGGCU